AACGAACGCUGGCGGCAUGCCUAACACAUGCAAGUCGAACGAGACCUUCGGGUCUAGUGGCGCACGGGUGCGUAACGCGUGGGAACCUGCCCUUAGGUUCGGAAUAACUCCCCGAAAGGGGUGCUAAUACCGGAUAAUGUCUUCGGACCAAAGAUUUAUCGCCUUUGGAUGGGCCCGCGUUGGAUUAGCUAGUUGGUAGGGUAAAAGCCUACCAAGGCGACGAUCCAUAGCUGGUCUGAGAGGAUGAUCAGACACACUGGGACUGAGACACGGCCCAGACUCCUACGGGAGGCAGCAGUGGGGAAUAUUGGACAAUGGGCGAGAGCCUGAGACAGCAACGCCGCGUGAGUGAUGAAGGCCUUAGGGUUGUAAAGCUCUUUUACCCGGGAUGAUAAUGACAGUACCGGGAGAAUAAGCUCCGGCUAACUCCGUG
rnacentral:rRNA from 1 species